AACGCAGAGUGUCAUCCCUGGCCUCACCAAGUCACCACCACACUUGCUCCUCAGACAAUUGCAAGGCAAAUCCGUGAUUGUAGACAAAGUUGGUCACUUGUCUUGC